AAACAUGAUGAAAACACAAUAUUAUUGAAUAACCGUGAUAUGUUAUUUAUGAGCUUUUUAACACUGAAGUAUU